UCCAUAUUUGAUUUAUACCUUGCUACGUCAUUGUGCAGAUAUAUUAUUUUAUUUAGCCACUUAACUUGCACACCUAAAAGGUUUUUUUUUUUUUUUGCAGGCGCAUUUGAGCAGUUUCUGCGCUUUUUUCCAGGCGGCAGUCGCUGGGCAGUGGCCCAUCCUCGAGGAGCCAGAAAGAACGGUUAACCUUCAAUAAACGGUGGCUUGGCGUAGCUGUCUUUCUACAGGGAUGCGGAGCGGGGGGACGAGACUGUUUACAGCAUCCCUAUAGAAAGAACGACAGAUGGGCUCCCGCGGUCCCGCCUCCCAGACCCCAGUAUAUCCCUGAACCUGGGGGAAACACUGUGUAUAUAUGCAAAUGCAACAGAAGAGAUGCAAAUGCAACAGAGGAGAGAAGAGUAUAUGCGCGCGUAAACAGUCUCCUGGAUCCCUCUGACAACAAAGAAACAAACAAGCAGGAGUAACGACGAGUAGACAGCGACGGCACGAGCGAACGACGCCUGCGCACUGGUCAAGCGUAGAGCUUGAAUUCUUGGUGUGGCUGAAACUGGAAAGCGUAGAGUAUACUGCCCUGAACUGAAGCGCCUUUGUUACUGAAGAUCUACUCCCCGAGAAACGGUGACAGGAAGGUGAAAUCGCUCGCUCAGCCGGAAUGAUGCAUGACCAAAAAUCUGUGCGCGUGCUCUCCUUGGCUCCUCCCUGUGAUGGCUACUCCUGCUAAAUUGCUCGAAGCUAGUAGACGGUAGUAGUAGUGUAGUGUGCGUGCGUGUGAGGAGCAGGGAUCGACGUUGGUCCCAGGAAUAGGACCAGGUAUGGCUCCGUCCCCGAUGGAACAGGACGCCAACCAACUGCACUGCAUCGGAGGUCUACAGCACUACCGCUUUUGUCUUGGCUGUGCUUUUCGUCUGCGCUCUCUCCUCUCCUCUCCUCUGUUGUGGAGCACGUC
rnacentral:lncRNA from 7 species